rnacentral:lncRNA from 1 species
UUUUAAUUUUUCUACUAUUUUAUUAUUAUCUUACGCAUAAUUUUAGGUCAAUUUUUCAAGCUAAAUCCAACCUAAGCUUCAAAUUUUGAUUUGGACCAACCCAACCCAUCAUGAUGAGGUGACUUGCUAUAUGAAACUCUAGAGAAAACUUGCCGCAAAAAGGAAAGCAUCCUCAAAACUAAACCAAACUCCACGAGUUUGGAGAGUUUUAAUCGAAAUUAAUCAAUC